CCCCGCGUGGCCGGAGGUGAGCCGUCCUCCCCUCCCGCGGGCGCGCGGCCGAGUGAGUCACCGUCGCGUCCCUGCCUGGCGUGCCCGCCCGGGGACCGAGCUCACGGUGAUUCGACAGCCACUGGGAGGCUCGGGGUGCCUUCCCUGGAAAGGACACACUCUGUAAGGAGGACCCUCCUAAUUCGCUUUCACCCACGGCUCGAGUGGUGUUCGCCCUGGGAGCAGGCUUGCAGGUCUUGCAGGCAAGCAAGGCGCCUUAGGCUUGGGCUGGCCUCAGCCUUCUAGUCUGGGGGACUCCAAAGCGUCAAGUUAAAUAAGUUCGAGUCUUUUACUUUAUUGAUGUCUUACCCAGAAAUACCCAAGAAUGCCUCCAGGCGCUCUCUGGACUUAGGUAUAUGCACCCUCCGGGCCACUGGAGGUGGGGUUCAGUGAGAGAAACCCAAUGCAAGGCAGGAGUCAAGAACUCUUCGCGGGGUUUGGAAACCUGGGGCCUAAAGCAUUCUUCUAGGGCCACUUGGCGGUGACAGACAUUGCUAAUGUUUCUGCUCCCCAGUGAGCCCAGCUCAGUGAUGAAGGCGCCUCGGAUGCUUAAUGCAUUCCAAGCACUAGACUGUACCUCCUGUGAUUAGGCUGAAGUGUUUCUGAGGGGGAGCGAGAAAAGCGGAUGUCUUUCUCGUUAGAUUCCACAUCUGUGGGAAGAAGAGUGAGUCCCUGCAGGAAUGAUUAGGCUCUUUCCUUACACCUAAUUAGAACUGAUUGCUUGUAGAUGUCUAUGACGGCCCCCUGCUGAAGUCCUCCUGUAUGCAAAUACUGUUGGUAUUCCAGCCCACUGAGUGACUUGAAGUUGCAUGGGGAAGAUUUUUGAAAAGGACUGAUAUGAGGACAAACUGUCGUCUGUGCAAGAAGAUAGUGGCAAUGUGUGUGAAAGGGGAAGGAGAAUAAGAUGGCUUCAAGCAAGAAGGAUUGCACAGAGAUCCAAAAAUGAGUUCCAUAAAACUCAAGCAGUGAAGGACCCAAGUAGAAUAUGGGAGUUUGGAUUUGAGGAAGUGGCCAGGACCAAAGGGCAAGCUUCUGGCUCAGGGACUUGGGAUAAAGACUGGACACAGAUCUGUCAUUCCCUCCUCCACCUCUCCUAGCUGUGAUUCAGCUCCUACUGGGUUAGAGAGGCCCCUGAAUUCCUUGGCUUGUGGUGCACUCCAUCUUCGAAACCAGCAACAUGGUGUCUCUGACAUCUCCUCAGGUUCUGAGUAAAGGACCCUUGUGACUGGACUGGGACCACCUGCCUCACUCCUCAACUCAGGUCCUUGAUGUGAUCUCAUCUGCUAUGUCAGUUACCUAUAGGCUGGUUCUCAAACACAUGCGCAGACAUCUGAGAAGACGGGAUUAUUUUGCCUACCACAUAUAUUAUUUUUCUGAAAAAUACCUUGAAUAAUUUAUUUUGUGUUCACGCUGAGGAAGGACUUGGACAGUACAUCUUCUUGCUCUUUUCACUUGGUCCUGUUUUAAGGAAAUGAAAGCUAUAGCUUAAUUGGUACUCACUAUUCCAUGGUAUGAAUAUGAUACUAUGUAUGUGACUACUCCACUAUGAAGAAAAAUUUUAUUUAUUUUGUUUAAGACUCUGCAGUAUGCUCUCUUAACUGCUGAGCCUCAACAGGUAUUUCUUUGCUGUUGUACUGAGUCAUGAAACUGAAGAUGUUUUUGUGUUUCAGGAUCCUUCUUUGCUCUUCAGUAGCUGUGGGGCUAUUUUUCAUUUUCUUUUCCUUACCUGCUUUUUCACUCUGGGUUCUUUGGUCACCCUCUCUUGGUCUUUAUCCUGUCAUUUCAUUUCCGUCCCCAGGUGUGUUCCUUUGCAUUUGUGUGACUCUGAGAAUAGCUUCAAACAGAUCUAGUAGUCCACCCUUGACCACCAGGGACACUUUGCCUGAGUCACUGCGGUGUAGUAGAUAGCCAUUCCAGCUUUGGCCUGGAAGUUCCAACCCCCAUU